rnacentral:rRNA from 1 species
GACGAGGGAUCCUAGCGUUGUUCGGAAUCAUUGGGCGUAAAGGGCGCGUAGGUGGCGGGCCAAGUCCAUGGUGAAAGCUCGAUGCUCAACAUCGAGUCGGCCACGGAUACUGGUUCGCUUGAGCACUGUAGAGGCUAAUGGAAUUCCGGGUGUAGCGGUGGAAUGCGUAGAGAUCCGGAAGAACACCGGUGGCGAAGGCGGUUAGCUGGGCAGUUGCUGACACUGAGGCGCGACAGCGUGGGGAGCAAACAGG